GAUGAAGAACGCAGUGAAAUGCGAUAAGUAAUGUGAAUUGCAGAAUUCAGUGAAUCAUCGAAUCUUUGAACGCACAUUGCGCCCGCCAGUAUUCUGGCGGGCAUGCCUGUCCGAGCGUCAUUUCAACCCUCAAGCCCCCGGGCUUGGUGUUGGGGAUCGGCGAGCCUCCGCGCCCGCCGUCCCCUAAAUCUAGUGGCGGUCUCGCUGUAGCUUCCUCUGCGUAGUAGCACACCUCGCACUGGGAAACAGCGCGGCCACGCCGUUAAACCCCCAACUUCUGAACGUUUGACCUCGGAUCAGGUAGGAAUACCCGCUGAACUUAAGCAUAUCAAUAAGCGGAGGA
rnacentral:misc_RNA from 1 species